AAACGUGUGCUCGUCCGACCUGCCUUACUGAUGUAUUAGAAAUGAUACCGUGGGACGGAUGUAAGGCUAAACAAAUUGCUUCCGCUCCAAGAACAUAGGACUGUGUUGGUUGUAAGAGAUGUGAAUCCGCUUGUCCAACAGAUUUUUUGAGUGUCCGAGUUUAUUUAUGGAA